rnacentral:rRNA from 1 species
UACGAAGGGUGCUAGCGUUGUUCGGAAUUACUGGGCGUAAAGAGCGCGUAGGCGGUUAUACAAGUCAGGGGUGAAAUCCCAGAGCUUAACUCUGGAACUGCCUUUGAAACUGUAUAGCUGGAGUGUGUGAGGGGAUAGCGGAAUUCUUAAUGUAGAGGUGAAAUUCGUAGAUAUUAAGAGGAACACCAGUGGCGAAGGCGGCUACCUGGACCAGCACUGACACUGAGGCACGAAAGCGUGGGGAGCAAACAGG